GAGAGGAGAGGAGAGGAGAGGGCUUGUUCUUGAGUGUGUGGCCAAGCACUGGAACAAGAUCUCAGGGAAGCGGCGAUGGUCCCAAACCUGUUGUUGUUCAAUAAACAUUUGUACAAUGAUCUUAGAUACGUAGUUUCACUUUUAGGUUGUUCUGUGUGGAGUCAGGAGUUGUACUCAAUGAUCCUCAUGGGUCCCCUCCAACUGAGAAUAUUCUGAUUCUAAAUAUUAGCACUAAGGCUUAAUCCCACUUAGUUACUGUGCUUGCAGGACAGGAUCUCAAAAUACAAUAGCAAUAUACUAGCAAAUGCUAACAUUUGAUGAAAUAAGGCAAAUAGACUUUAGUUGUACCAUAUUUUUUCUCAUGAGGGUUUUUCUAAAAGAGUAUCAAAACACUGUAUGAACUACCAGCUCUAAAACAGUAUCAGUUCCACCUACCAAUUCUUGCUCCUGGGGCAGGGAACAUUUUAUGCCACACACAGUGUAAGACAGCAAUGUAAAAGACAGAGAGGGCAAGGGAUACAGAAAACACUAUCUCUAUUUCAGAGCUCAGAAGAGAAGCACAAAAAGAAUAAUGGGAACACCCAAAGUCACUUGUGCACUGGACAGAGCUGGGGAUAUUGCAUAGAAGCAUAAGCACUUUGAUCUGUUCCAUCAUGGCAUUUCAAGGAAGUAGGAGAGGAGCUGAGGGCAGAUGCCUCUGUGCUAUUAUUGACACAACAUUUUUCCAUUUUUACUUGUAGGGAUUCUGGAGAAACAAAGACUUUCCUCUUCGUGUCAUAACUGCUUGGAGGUUCUCCUGACCUUUGUUUGCCCCUCCCAUUUUUCCAGGAUAUCCCAUGGUGUGAGGGAAGGAAACUUGAACCCAUCCAGAGCAGGAACUGAAGGGAGCCUGACAUCUCUUGCUUUCCAGGACUUAAGUGCUAAGCCCAUGUGAGCUGUGCCUGCACUAAAAAAACUGCAAGACUCAGUACAGGAGAAGCAAUCAAGGAUGGAGUGACAACAAAAGCACCAGAUGCCACUGAUGCCUCUUCCACACUUCAGUCUCCAGGCAUCACAGCAACAAGGAACCCUUCUGACUCCAGGGUUUCCUAGUAAAGACACAUUUGAAGAGGCACAGUCACUCUC